UCGGGAAUUUUGGGCAAUGGGCGAAAGCCUGACCCAGCAACGCCGCGUGAGGGAUGAAGUAUUUCGGUAUGUAAACCUCGAAAGAAUGGGAAGAAUAAAUGACGGUACCAUUUAUAAGCUCCGGCUAACUACGUGCCAGCAGCCGCGGUAAUACGUAGGGAGCAAGCGUUGUACGGAUUUACUGGGCGUAAAGGGCGCGUAGGCGGCGCGGUAAGUCACUUGUGAAAUCUCUGAGCUUAACUCAGAACGGCCAAGUGAUACUGCUGCGCGAGAGUGCGGAAGAGGCAACCGGAAUGCUGGGUGUAGCGGUGAAAUGCGUAGAUAUCAAGUGGAACACCUGAGGCGAAGGCGGGU
rnacentral:rRNA from 1 species